rnacentral:rRNA from 1 species
UACGGAGGGCGCGAGCGUUAAUCGGAAUUACUGGGCGUAAAGCGCGCGUAGGCUGUUGUGUAAGUUGGGGGUGAAAUCCCACGGCUCAACCGUGGAACAGCCCUUGAUACUGCGCGACUUGAAUCCGGGAGAGGGUGGCGGAAUUCCAGGUGUAGGAGUGAAAUCCGUAGAUAUCUGGAGGAACAUCAGUGGCGAAGGCGACCACCUGGACCGGUAUUGACGCUGAGGCGCGAAAGCGUGGGGAGCAAACAGG